rnacentral:rRNA from 1 species
AGCCAUGCAGUUUCUGAAAUAAGGACAAAUAGCUUAGUAAAACUGCAUUAAUUUAGUCUUGAUAAUAAAUAACCACGGGAAACUGUGGCUAAAAAAUAGAGAAUAAGAUGUAGUGAUAUCAGCUAGUUGGCAGUGUAAAGGACUACCAAGGCAAUGACGUCUAACGGGAAAUUAGGGUUUUAUUCCGAAGAGGGAGCCUGAGAGAUUGCUCCCACGUCCAAGGACGGCAGCAGGCGCGAAAAUUGCCCACUCUUGCAGGAGGCAGUUAUGAAACGUUUUUUUGAAUGAGUUCUGUAUAAAAGAAUUUUAUAAUUGGAGGGCAAGUUUGGUGCCAGCAGCCGCGGUAAUACCGACUCCAAGAGUGUGUAUGAGAGAUGCUGCAGUUAAAACGUCCGUAGUCGUAUUAUUUAAAUCGAUAACGCUGUUAUUUUUGCUAAUAAAUAGAGGGGCUGAUGGGGAUUACUGUAUACAAAGGCGAGAGAUGAAAUGUCUAGACCCUUUGUGGACAGAGCGAGGCGAAGGCUGUAAUCCGGUAAGUACUCGAUGAUCAAGGACGAAGGGUGGAGUAUCGAAGGUGAUUAGAUACCGCUGUAGUUCCACCAGUAAAAUAUGCCGACAUGUCAUAGUUAAUUAGCUGUGGCAGGGAGAAAUCUUAGAGUUCGGGCUUUGGGGAUAGUAUGCUCACAAGGGUGAAAAUUAAAGAAAUU